rnacentral:rRNA from 1 species
AAUGAACGCUGGCGGCAUGCCUAACACAUGCAAGUCGAACGAAGGCUUCGGGCUUAGUGGCGCACGGCUGCGUAACGCGUGGGAAUCUGCCCGUGGGUUCGGAAUCCCAGUCAGAAAUGACUGCUAAUACCGGAUGAUGUCGUAAGACCAAAGAGUUAGCGCCCAAGGAUGAGCCCGCGUAGGAUUAGCUAGUUGGUGGGGUAAAGGCCUACCAAGGCGACGAUCCUUAGCUGGUCUGAGAGGAUGAUCAGCCACACUGGGACUGAGACACGGCCCAGACUCCUACGGGAGGCAGCAGUGGGGUAUAUUGGACGAUGGGCGAUAGCCUGAUCCAGCAAUGCCGCGUAAGUGAUGAAGGCGUUAGGGUUGUAAAGCUCUUUUACCCGGGAUGAUAAUGACGGUACCGGGAGAAUAAGCACCGGCUAACUUCGUG